AUGCGGUCAUUGGAAAAUCGAAACCUACCUGGGGGUAAUGUUAGUGAUAUCUUUCUGUUUAAUGAAGUGAUUGGCCACCUGGGUCUUGUUGAGCUACCAAUUAAGGGACGACAAUUCACUUGGUCGAACAUGCAAACACAACCUUUACUUGAACAGAUCGAUUGGUUCUUUACUUCAGUUGCAUGGACCACGGAUCAUCCAAACACGCUGGUUUUGCCCCUUGCACGCAUGGCUUCCGAUCAUUGA
rnacentral:rRNA from 1 species